UCAUCUCAUUACUUGACUUAUAACUCUUUGCCAAAGUAGGGCUCUGUUUCCAGGGUGGAGGAUGCACUGUUUCAAGAUCAUGGAUUUCAGAGAUAUUUCUAGGGACCGAACUGUAUGCAGUGAGAGCAGAUUGUGGAGAGAGAAAGAAUAAUUGAACAAUUACCCUCUGAAUUUUCUUCGGACGUAGAAUAUUCCUGCUGAAACACUAAGGCAACUUGAAGAAGCAGCUCACUUUUUUUAUGUCAUCAUCGUUAUUUCAGUUAUUUCAUCCUUCCUUCCCUCCCAGAGAGCCAUUCCCCAUUUCAAAAAUUUUUGAAAGGAAAAAAUCAGCAGAACUGAUUAAUAAAAUUGAAAAUUUCUGAGUGUGUCUAAUAUAUAAUACCAAUGGAACUCCUCCAUCCA